AACUCCUACUAUUAUAAUAUAUGUCCAAGGUACAAUGUAAUCCUACCAGCUGUCAGAACAUAUCAGGUACUAGCUGACAUUGAUUGUCGUAGGUUGUGAGAAGUCGAAACCAUGUCACCAGGUGGAGGAGAUGAUGUAAACCUGAUGGACAUACCAAGAA